AUUGAACGCUGGCGGCAUGCUUUACACAUGCAAGUCGAACGGUAACAGGCCGCAAGGUGCUGACGAGUGGCGAACGGGUGAGUAAUGCAUCGGAACGUGCCCAGUCGUGGGGGAUAACUGCUCGAAAGAGCAGCUAAUACCGCAUACGAUCUAUGGAUGAAAGCGGGGGACCGUAAGGCCUCGCGCGAUUGGAGCGGCCGAUGUCAGAUUAGGUAGUUGGUGGGGUAAAGGCUCACCAAGCCAACGAUCUGUAGCUGGUCUGAGAGGACGACCAGCCACACUGGGACUGAGACACGGCCCAGACUCCUACGGGAGGCAGCAGUGGGGAAUUUUGGACAAGGGGGGCAACCCUGAUCCAGCAAUGCCGCGUGCAGGAAGAAGGCCUGCGGGUUGUAAACUGCUUUUGUACGGAACGAAACGGUCUGGGUUAAUACCCUGGGCUAAUGACGGUACCGUAAGAAUAAGCACCGGCUAACUACGUGCCAGCAGCCGCAGUAAGAC
rnacentral:rRNA from 1 species